CUGGUUGAUCCUGCCAGAGGUUACUGCUAUCGAGGUUCGACUAAGCCAUGCGAGUCGAAUGUAGCAAUACAUGGCGAACUGCUCAGUAACACGUGGACAACCUGCCCUUAGGUUGGGUAUAAACCCGGGAAACUGGGUAUAAUACCCGAUAGGUCUCGAUUGCUGGAAUGCAUCGAGAUUUAAAGCUCCGGCGCCUAAGGAUGGGUCUGCGGCCUAUCAGGUAGUAGUGGGUGUAGCGUACCUACUAGCCUACGACGGGUACGGGUUGUGAGAGCAAGAGCCCGGAGAUGGAUUCUGAGACACGAAUCCAGGCCCUACGGGGUGCAGCAGGCGCGAAAACUUUACAAUGCUGGCAACAGCGAUAAGGGAACCUCGAGUGCCAGGUUACAAAUCUGGCUGUCGAGAUGCCUAAAAAGCAUUUCAUAGCAAGGGCCGGGCAAGACCGGUGCCAGCCGCCGCGGUAACACCGGCGGCCCGAGUGGUAACCGCUUUUAUUGGGUCUAAAGGGUCUGUAGCCGGCCAAGUAAGUCCCUUGGGAAAUCUGGCAGCUUAACUGUCAGGCUUUCAGGAGAUACUGUCUGGCUCGAGGCCGGGAGAGGUGAGAGGUACUUCAGGGGUAGGGGUGAAAUCUUGUAAUCCUUGAAGGACCACCAGUGGCGAAGGCGUCUCACCAGAACGGACCUGACGGCAAGGGACGAAAGCUAGGGGCACGAACCGGAUUAGAUACCCGGGUAGUCCUAGCCGUAAACGAUACUCGCUAGGUGUCGGCCACGGUGCGACCGUUGUCGGUGCCGUAGGGAAGCCGUGAAGCGAGCCACCUGGGAAGUACGGCCGCAAGGCUGAAACUUAAAGGAAUUGGCGGGGGAGCACCACAACGGGUGGAGCUUGCGGUUUAAUUGGAUUCAACGCCGGG
rnacentral:rRNA from 1 species